GCGCUCCCCUAGGCAACAUGUCUACCCAAAGUGGAAUGAUACAGAGAAAAUUAAUAUGGCCCCUGCUGAGGGAUGAUACACACAUUCAUGAAGUGCUCCUUUUUUGU
ensembl:snRNA U6 U6 spliceosomal RNA